CACAUUGUGAAUUCUGUUUUCUGGUUUCUAAAUCUUGAGUGGUUGCAUGCAAUAUAUAUGUGGGAUGAAGAUUAGAAAAGAUUAUGUCUCUAUAAAUUCUUACUCCUAAACUAUGUGUUUGUUUGGGGAUAGAUCAUGAACACAUAAGAAAGAGAAAACCAACAGUCUUCAAUGGUGAGUUUGUUUUCAGUAAGAUUGGUCUCCCAAUUAUUCCUACACUUUCCUUCCCCAUACAUA
rnacentral:lncRNA from 1 species